rnacentral:rRNA from 1 species
AACGAACGCUGGCGGCAGGCCUAACACAUGCAAGUCGAGCGAGACCUUCGGGUCUAGCGGCGGACGGGUGAGUAACGCGUGGGAACGUGCCCGUUUCUGCGGAAUAGCCUCGGGAAACUGAGCGUAAUACAGCAUACGCCCUUUGGGGAUAAGAUUUAUCGGUAAAGGAUCGGGCCGCGUUGGAUUAGGUAGUUGGUGGGGUAAUGGCCUACCAAGCCUACGAUCCAUAGCUGGUUGGAGAGGAUGCUCAGCCACACUGGGACUGAGACACGGCCCAGAAUCCUACGGGAGGCAGCAGUGGGGAAUCUUAGACAAUGGGGGCAACCCUGAUCUAGCCAUGCCGCGUGAGUGAUGAAGGCCUUAGGGUUGUAAAGCUCUUUCAGCUGGGAAGAUAAUGACGGUACCAGCAGAAGAAGCCCCGGCUAACUCCGUG